rnacentral:rRNA from 1 species
GCGAAAGGGGCAGUAAGGCGUGGGUAACCUACCCCGGGGACGGGCAUAGCCGUCCUAACGGACGGGUAAUUCCCGGCGAUUCGACGUGGCGGCAUCGCCGUGUCGGGAAAUGAAUUUCGCCUCGGGAGGGGCUCACGUGAUAUUAGCUUGUUGGCGGGGUAACGGCCCACCAAGGCGAAGAUGUCUAGCGGGUGUGAGAGCACGACCCGCGCCACUGGCACUGAGACACUGGCCAGACACCUACGGGUGGCUGCAGUCGAGGAUCUUCGGCAAUGGGCGCAAGCCUGACCGAGCGACGCCGCGUGUGCGAUGAAGGCCUUCGGGUUGUAAAGCACUGUCGAGGGGGAGGAAGCCGCAAGGUUGACCUAUCCCUGGAGGAAGCACGGGCUAAGUUCGUGCCAGCAGCCGCGGUAAGACGAACCGUGCGAACGUUGUUCGGAAUCACUGGGCUUAAAGGGCGCGUAGGCGGCGGAUCAAGUCCGGGGGUGAAAGCCCCCAGCUCACCUGGGGAAGUGCCUUGGAUACUGAUUCGCUCGAGGGAGGUAGGGGUCGCGGGAACUUCCGGGGGGAGCGGUGAAAUGCGUUGAUAUCGGAAGAACGCCGGUGGCGAAAGCGCGCGACUGGACCUCUUCUGACGCUGAGCGCGAAGCCAGGGGAGCGACGGGAUAGAUACCCCGGUAGUCUGGCCUAACGAUGAGACUA